ACGAACGCUGGCGGCGUGCUUAACACCUGCAAGUCGAACGGAAAGGCCCUGCUUUUGUGGGGUGCUCGAGUGGCGAACGGGUGAGUAACACGUGAGUAACCUGCCCUUGACUUUGGGAUAACUUCAGGAAACUGGGUCUAAUACCGGAUAGGAGCUCCUGCUGCAUGGUGGGGGUUGGAAAGUUUCGGCGGUUGGGGAUGGACUCGCGGCUUAUCAGCUUGUUGGUGGGGUAGUGGCUUACCAAGGCUUUGACGGGUAGCCGGCCUGAGAGGGUGACCGGCCACAUUGGGACUGAGAUACGGCCCAGACUCCUACGGGAGGCAGCAGUGGGGAAUAUUGCACAAUGGGCGGAAGCCUGAUGCAGCAACGCCGCGUGCGGGAUGACGGCCUUCGGGUUGUAAACCGCUUUCGCCUGUGACGAAGCGUGAGUGACGGUAAUGGGUAAAGAAGCACCGGCUAACUACGUG
rnacentral:rRNA from 1 species